rnacentral:rRNA from 1 species
AUUGAACGCUGGCGGCAGGCUUAACACAUGCAAGUCGAGCGGAGAUGAGGUGCUUGCACCUUAUCUUAGCGGCGGACGGGUGAGUAAUGCUUAGGAAUCUGCCUAUUAGUGGGGGACAACAUUCCGAAAGGAAUGCUAAUACCGCAUACGUCCUACGGGAGAAAGCAGGGGAUCUUCGGACCUUGCGCUAAUAGAUGAGCCUAAGUCGGAUUAGCUAGUUGGUGGGGUAAAGGCCUACCAAGGCGACGAUCUGUAGCGGGUCUGAGAGGAUGAUCCGCCACACUGGGACUGGAACACGGCCCAGACUCCUACGGGAGGCAGCAGUGGGGAAUAUUGGACAAUGGGGGGAACCCUGAUCCAGCCAUGCCGCGUGUGUGAAGAAGGCCUUAUGGUUGUAAAGCACUUUAAGCGAGGAGGAGGCUACUGAGACUAAUACUCUUGGAUAGUGGACGUUACUCGCGGAAUAAGCACCGGCUAACUCUGUGCCAGCCGCCGCAGUAACAC